UGUAUGCACAAAGAAACCCGAGGGGUUAGAGCAGUGAGCUCGACAGAGUCACCCUCUCCAAAGGCUGCCUGAGGGCCCCUGGCAAGAAAUGGCCUCCGCGGAGGGAAUGUCCAGUCCCCUCUCGUCCCUGGUCCUCACGCCAAAGCCUGGGUUGCCCGCCAGAGCACGGAAGAGAGUCAUCUUCCGAAGAUGGAAAAUGAAUGAUUGCAAACCCACUAAAAAGAGAUUUUCCUUGACUUACCUUGACGGAAAUGAGCGUCAUUUCCGUCAUGAAAUGAUGCUCCCUCACCCCCGCGGACUGGAAGCUGUGAUGCUGGAGGGAGAGGCUCUGGGCUCCCGAGGAGAAGAGCCAUCGCUGAUGGAGAGACACACAGAUCCCCAUGCUCUUCUCGGAGGGCAGUCCUCUAAUUUCAGGAAGAAUCGAGAGACAGGGUGUUCUUUCUGACACCCAACACCUCACUGAUCGGGAAAAGGCCCGGGCAGGGAGUCCCAAUGACCAGACCCUGCAUGCUCUUCUGCCCUCAACAACCAUGUCGUGAUGAAUGUGAGACGUCUCUCAGCACCACUCAAGGCAUGGGCCCAGGGGGAAGACAACCAUGGCAGAGUACUUCCGGUGAAUUUUCCUGGACUCAGUAGGUCUCUCAGAGUCUCCUGCUUGUGACGCUGGUAUGCUUUUGUUCUUGAGCACCAUAACUUUUCACUUCUGGGUUUCUUCUGAACUUGCUCCAUCUUAGGUCCUAGUGGGCUGGAUUUUAGCACCUGACUCAGAUUUGUUUUUUCCAUCUGUCACCCCUCCCUCUGCCAUAUCCCAGGAUUCCAGUUUAUGACCUCUCUUCUAGAGAAAGGAUUUUGCAACUCUUGUCUCCUUCUGGGUGUUAGUUCCUUUUAAUAUUUGGCUCUGACCCAGGAACAUAUUGCACAACUGCUUUGGAGAACUAUGGGAUACCCAAGCCAUCGAUCCUGGGACUUAAUUUGCCUCAGUGCCUCAAGGCUUAUGGUGGGAGGGGACACAUGCAAAGAAUUAAAGGAUUUUGUCAAAUAUGCUAGUUUCUUGAGUUAAGUCACUGAAAGAAGGAGUUGAGGGGCAUGACUCUGCAGCUUGCAAGAAAGAAACCUUAUUAUGUUGAAGUACAGAGCCUGUAUACAGACUGACUAUAACCAGGUGCUCAAGAUGACAGGGAGACCAUAUUUUCUGAACAGUGACUGUCUUACCUUCCUGGGCAAAAGAAUUUCAUGGAACACGCUGGUAAGUUGUGUUAACGUAUGUGGGCUCAUUUCUCAGGCAGAAACCAGUGGAUUUUCUUCCAUUAUAAGCUGCAGUGAGUCAGAGACCUUGUAGGACUUUUUACCCCUCUUUUAAGAAACCAGAUAGGCUCUUUUGUAUGCUUGCUUUUUACUGGCAUCCUGGGGCCUGUGCCUGCUUCCCUUUCCUCUGUGAAGCCUCCUUGCCUUCUUUAACGAUGGGCUGAUUCUGAGUAAUCUUUUGGCAUCAGGUGACAUUCACCUCCUUUAGGAAGUUCUCCUGACUUCUUUUCUACUACUAUUGUCCACUUCGAGUCCCCUGCCCUGAGGAUUCCCGUGCUAGCUGUCACUGAGCAUCAUCUCCUUGAAUGUCUGUCUCCUCCCUCAAGCUCGUGAGCUUCUAGAGGGUGAAAAUUGUCUUAGAAUAGUAUUCUUUUCUGCUAC